rnacentral:rRNA from 1 species
GUCGACGAGCGAGAGAGAGCUUGCUUUCUCGAGCGAGUGGCGAACGGGUGAGUAACGCGUGAGGAACCUGCCUCAAAGAGGGGGACAACAGUUGGAAACGACUGCUAAUACCGCAUAAGCCCACGGGUCGGCAUCGACCAGAGGGAAAAGGAGCAAUCCGCUUUGAGAUGGCCUCGCGUCCGAUUAGCUAGUUGGUGAGGUAAUGGCCCACCAAGGCGACGAUCGGUAGCCGGACUGAGAGGUUGAACGGCCACAUUGGGACUGAGACACGGCCCAGACUCCUACGGGAGGCAGCAGUGGGGAAUAUUGCACAAUGGGGGAAACCCUGAUGCAGCGACGCCGCGUGGAGGAAGAAGGUCUUCGGAUUGUAAACUCCUGUUGUUGGGGAAGAUAAUGACGGUACCCAACAAGGAAGUGACGGCUAACUACGUGCCAGCAGCCGCGGUAAAACGUAGGUCACAAGCGUUGUCCGGAAUUACUGGGUGUAAAGGGAGCGCAGGCGGGAAGACAAGUUGGAAGUGAAAUCUAUGGGCUCAACCCAUAAACUGCUUUCAAAACUGUUUUUCUUGAGUAGUGCAGAGGUAGGCGGAAUUCCCGGUGUAGCGGUGGAAUGCGUAGAUAUCGGGAGGAACACCAGUGGCGAAGGCGGCCUACUGGGCACCAACUGACGCUGAGGCUCGAAAGUGUGGGUAGCAAACAGGAUUAGAUACCCUGGUAGUCCACACCGUAAACGAUGAUUACUAGGUGUUGGAGGAUUGACCCCUUCAGUGCCGCAGUUAACACAAUAAGUAAUCCACCUGGGGAGUACGACCGCAAGGUU